CGGUUUAUUGCGGAGAAGAAUCCACCUCAAAUAGGCACAAACAAUGUCUGAAUAACCUCAACCGACUUUUACAGAAGAAAAACAUUGUUCUGGAAUUUACCGACAACCUAGAAAAUGCGUUGGCUCAAAAUGAAAAACCUUUACUUGUGAUUUCUCUCAUCCACUCAAGAGCUAUAUCCGAUGUAACCGCAACGUUUUCUAGCAUAGAAGACCAGUAUCUAAAAAGAGUUAUCGUUGUACUAUUGCAUUUUAAAGAAUCAGAUCAGACAGAAGCCGCUCAAGAUAUCAUUGGUGGAUUCAACGUCUUUCAUGCGUGUGAUUACUUUCUAGGAAAAGAAACGAGUUUAGAUAAGGUUGCGGAUUCUGUCUUUACAGCUAUCGAAAAAUUUGAUAUGCAAUACGAUUAGCAGUGUCAGUAUCAAGACUUUAGUAGACACAAAAUAAGUUAUUUAUCUGUGUUACAUUUAUUGUCGAACUAUAUUAAAAAUGUUUUUAUUUUUAGUUCUGACCAAAAAUGGUACAAAUGUGAAUUUAAGGUGAUUGUAUUACUGAGUAUUACAGUAAACAGAUGUUAUAUUGUAACCAGAAAUUAUUAUUUUACCUUAAAUAUUCUAAUGAAAAAAUAUCAAUACUA